AAACUCAAAUGAAUUGACGGGAACCCGCACAAGCGGUGGAGUAUGUGUUUAAUUCGAAGAUACACGAAGAACCUUACCAGGUCUUGACAUACCAUUGACAGGUGUAGAGAUACACUCUCCUUCGGGCAAUGGAUACAGGGUGGUGCAUGGUUGUCGUCAGCUCGUGCCGUGAGGUGUUGGGUUAAGUCCCGCAACGAGCGCAACCCUCAUUGUUAGUUACUACCAUUCAGUUGAGGACUCUAAUGAGACUGCCAACGACAAGUUGGAGGAAGGUGGGGAUGACGUCAAAUCAUCAUGCCCUUUAUGACCUGGGCUACAAACGUACUACAAUGGCCAAUACAAAGAGAUGCGAAACGGUGACGUGAAGCGAACCUCAGAAAGUUGGUCUCAGUUCAGAUUGAAGUCUGCAACUCGACUUCAUGAAGGCGGAAUCGCUAGUAAUCGCGGGUCAGCAGACCGCGGUGAAUACGUUCCCGGGUUUU
rnacentral:rRNA from 1 species